rnacentral:rRNA from 1 species
CGUAGGGUGACCUACCUCGAAGUGAGGGAUACCGGCGAGAAAUCGCCGACAAUCCCGCAUAGGUUGCGCUCUUCCCCGAGAAGGGAGCAACAAAGCUUUGUUCGUGAGAAGAAGGCGCUUUGAGAUGGGCCCGCGGCCGAUUAGCUGGUUGGUGGGGUAAAAGCCUACCAAGGCCACGAUCGGUAGCUGGUCUGAGAGGACGAUCAGCCACACUGGGAUUGAGAACGGCCCAG